rnacentral:rRNA from 1 species
AUUCCAGCUCCGAUAGCGUAUACUAAAGUUGCUGCAGUUAAAAAGCUCGUAGUUGGAUUUCUGGUCGUGGUCGCCGGUCGUGCCCAAACGGGUUCUGUACCUGGCGCCCGCGUCCAUCCUCGGGGAGAGCGUGUCUGGCAUUAAGUUGUCGGGCUCGGGACCCCCGUCAUUUACUGUGAGCAAAAUAGAGUGUUCAAAGCAGGCUUAGGCCAUGAAUACAUUAGCAUGGAAUAAUAAGGUAAGACCUUGGUCUAUUUUGUUGGUUUGCAUUCCAAGGUAAUGAUUAAUAGGGAUAGUUGGGGGUAUUCGUAUUCAAUUGUCAGAGGUGAAAUUCUUGGAUUUAUGGAAGACGAACUACUGCGAAAGCAUUUACCAAGGAUGUUUUCAUCG